AGCGAGCGCUGGCGGCGUGCCUAACACAUGCAAGUCGAACGUGAAAGGGAGCAAUCCCAAGUAAAGUGGCGUACGGGUGAGUAACACGUAGGUAAUCUACCCCAGAAUCUGGAAUAACCGGCCGAAAGGCUGGCUAAUACUGGAUAGAGCGACGGAAUCCGUAAUUGGGUUUUUCGGGAAAGGGAGCCUGUAAAAAGGCCUUCGUUCUGGGAUGAGCCUGCGUCCCAUCAGCUAGUUGGUGAGGUAAAAGCUUACCAAGGCAAUGACGGGUAGCUGGUCUGAGAGGACGAUCAGCCACACUGGAGCUGAAACACGGCCCAGACACCUACGGGAGGCAGCAGUGGGGAAUAUUGCGCAAUGGACGAAAGUCUGACGCAGCAACGCCGCGUGAGUGAAGAAGGCCUUCGGGCUGUAAAGCUCUGUCGAGUGGGACGAAAAUGCUUGGAGUUCACAGCUCCAGGAACUGACGGUACCACUAAAGGAAGCACCGGCUAACUCCGUG
rnacentral:rRNA from 1 species